rnacentral:sRNA from 1 species
AUUUUCUGUUAAUAUCUCCUGAAGGUUCAGAAGGGUUCUUGAAAGGCCCCCUGUCUGAAGAAACAGAAGCAUCGGACAGUGUUGAUGGAGGUCACGAUUCUGUCGUUUUGGAUCCACAGCGACUUGAGCCUGAGCUAGAUGAGGAGGACACGGACUUUGAGGAGGAAGAUGACAACCCCGACUGGGUGUCAGAGCUGAAGAAGCGAGCUGGAUGGCAAGGCCUGUGCGACGGAUAAUGCCUGAGGAAAUGUUCCUGAGUCACGCUGAGGAGAGGCUUCACUCAGGAGUUCAUGUUGAGAUGAUCAUGAGUUCAUGCGACGUAUAUUUUCCUUUGGAAACAGAAUGAAGCAGAGGAAACUCUUAAUACUUAAAAUUGUUCUUGAUUAAUAUCAUGAGUUUGAAAAGUCUAGAACUCCUGUAAGUUUUUGAACUCAAGGGAGAAGGUAUAGUGGAAUGAGUGUGAGCAUCGGGCUUUGCAGUCCCAUAGAACAGAAAUGGGAUGCUAGCCUGCCACUACCUACUUGUGUGAUUGUGGGAAAUUACUUAACCUCUUCAAGUCCCAAUUUCCUCUACCAUAAAAUGAAGAUAAUAAUGCCUACCUCAGAGGGAUGCUGACCACAGACCUUUAUAGCAGCCCGUAUGUUAUUAUUCACAUUAUGGUUUGUGUUUAUUAUUAUGUGACUCUUUUUACAUUUCCUAAAGGUUUGAGAAUAUAUUUAAUUAUGAUA